rnacentral:tRNA from 1 species
GAGGGCAUAGCACAAGUGGUAGAGCACAUGCUUAGGACGCACAAGGUCCUGGGUUCAAUCCCCAGGGCCGUCU